rnacentral:rRNA from 1 species
GACGAACGCUGGCGGCGUGCUUAACACAUGCAAGUCGAACGGAAAGGCCCUGCUUUUUUGGGGUGCUCGAGGGGCGAACGGGUGAGUAACACGUUAGUAACCUGCCCUUGACUUUGGGAUAACUUCAGGAAACUGGGGCUAAUACCUGAUAGGUGCUCCUGCUGCAUGGUGGGAGUUGGAAAUUUUCGGUGGUGGGGGAUGGACUCGCGGCUUAUCAGCUUGUUGGUGGGGUAGUGGCUUACCAAGGCUUUGACGGGUAGCCGGCCUGAGAGGGUGACCGGCGACCUUAGGACUGAGAUACGGACCAGACUGCAACGGGAGGCAGCAGUGGGGAAUAUUGCACAAUGGGAGGAAGUCUGAUGCAGAAACGCCGCGUGCGGGAAGACGGCCUUCGGGUUGUAAAACGCUUUAGCCUGUGACGAAGCGUUAGUGACGGUAACGGGUAAAGAAGCACCGGCUAACUACGUG